UUGGAUUUGCUUUUUAUCUAUGCAUUGUGCUACUCUAAUCCCACCAGUGCACCGCCCUACCUACAAUCAUAUCCAAACGGGAGUCUUCACAACCACUUGUUUCUUAUCCCUUCUACAUAACUCCCCCCGAACCCAAUCCAGUUCUUUAUCUCUCCCGUCUUCGGUGAGCAAGCUAGCCGCUGCUGGAAGAGGGAGGCCACUUCUGCAUGCAAGAGCUUGCUAUGGCUAGUGAUGCAUGCCAACCUCUGCGAGGUACACCCCCGCAAGAUCCGUGUUCGGCGUCGCCUGCGUUCCAUGUCGCUACCGUCCUGGAGGAGCUCCAACGUCCAUGGCUGCUGCCUCCUCGAGCUCAACAGCAACAUUUCUUGCAACAUGAUUUUUGUUGCAGGAAUACAGGAGAAGAGGUCCUUGAUGCUGUAAUUUUUGAAACAAGGAAUACAACAAAGGAAACAAGGAUUACAUGCCCCCGCCCGCCGGCGGCAGCUGUUUUUUUGUGGUGGUUGGGGGCGGCGCAGCGUUGGGCGCAGCUCUGUCGAGGACGGUGGACAUGGAAGUCUGUUUCUGAAAAGAGCCGUUGUUGUGAGAAUUAAAGAGGGGUCAACCGGCGCGAGGUGGUUACAUCGAACGGCUAUUAGCGCUCCGAUUCAACGGUUGUCCAACCGGCGGAUCAUUAUAACGCGUACGCCGACCGACGCAUAGCGCCGUCCUUUUAUUUUAGCCACAAUUGACUUUGCAAAAAAUAUGCCAAUGGACAAAACAAUUCCAAUGAAUUAAAGUGCACUGCCACAAAAUAUUGUGAGACCUUUUUGAAAAAGUUUGUCAAUUUUAUAAAAUAAAAAAGGCAUUUAAUAUAUUGCUUGGGUCACUGUUUUAAGCA